rnacentral:rRNA from 1 species
CGACUUUGUGCGUGCUGGGGAUGGAGCAAAGCGUAAUGAUUAAGAGGAGCGGUCGGGGGCGAUCGUACCGCGCAGCAAGAGGUGAAAUUCUUUGAUUUGCGCGAGACGACCGGGAGCGAAAGCGUUUGUCAAGGACGUUUUCAUUAAUCAAGAACGAAAGUCGGGGGAUCGAAGACGAUCAGAUACCGUCGUAGUCUCGACCAUAAACGAUGCCGACUCUGGAUCGGCGGGCGUUUUAUAUGUACCCUGCCGGCACAGUUACGGGAAACCAAAGUUUUUGGGUUCUGGGGGGAGUAUAGUCGCAAGACCGAAACUUAAAGGAAUUGACGGAAGAGCAUCACCGGGGGUGGAGCCUGCGGCUUAAUUUGACUCAACACGGGGAAACUCACC